UGGGCAGCGUUGCAUAUGUGAGUAUUCUGUUAAGUAGAGGUGUUCUGAGUUUGUUUGCAGGCAGAGGGAAGGAAGCUUGCAGAGAGGGCAGACUGAGUAUGUUUGAGGAAGGAGAAAUGAUCAGGCAAGGUUCGAAGGGAAGAGGUGGGGAUGGGAUUAAGAUGAUUGAUAGAGGAAGUGAGCGUCUCGGGGGAGUAGCAGGAUCGAUUAAGGAGAUAAAUAGGUACAGAGUGAAGCCAGAUCUUCAAAAAGGCAAUGUUAUCCGCCUUACCCUGUAAAGUAGGAUUGUCUUGUUAGCCUGCCUUGGUCAGCAAGUAGGGGUCCCACCGUCAGUAAGCACCGGCAGUGCUGCGUACGUAACGCAGCCCUCCCGUGUGGAGGUGUUUCCUGUCUUAUGGGCGUCCUCAGAAGGAAAAGCAGGCCUGCAUCAUAUUGGAUUCGAGACAACGUGGGACUCAGUACUUAUUAGAGAAGCCCACGUCCAACCACUGCUUACCAGAGUACGGCACCUCACCUCCAGUAAACCUGCCAGGCCUUUUCACACAACAUGCAUGCAUGACUGACUGACGCUUUCCACACUUCCCACCACCUUCACCUUCUGCUACCAACUUGCUCUACUUCACUUCCCAACACACACACACUAUGCACCUUAUCAUCACAGGUGACACACAUCAUGCACACAGCUAAUAAGUGACUGACUGACAGAAUUAGAAACCGUGUACAAACCAAGCAAAACUGCCAAAGAAAUAAAUACAGUGAAACCAGCUGUUUCUUGACCCUACCCUUCAGUGCAUUCAUUCACCACCUACCUACCUUCUUACACCAAAAACUACUCACAUACUAUACUAUACUAUAUUAACUAUAUACUAUACUCUACUUUACCUGCCUCACUUACUUUACUUUAAUAAAUAAAACGAAAUAAAUGAACACAUCAUCCACAUUGCAAUACACAUGCACAUGCGCAACUCAACUCAACUCGCACACACACACACCAUUAGUAACAUUGACGACCAGUGACUGACUGACUGACUAUUGAUUACAGACGCUUGAAAAUCAAUAAACAGACUUGGGACCUUGACUCACUCACUCAAACUGCUCAGAGUUGUGUCUGAAUGACAGACAGUAAAGUAAAGUAAAAAGUACAAUGUCUGUCUGUGAGAAACACAAACAAACACAGAGAGGAAGCAAGUUUCUUUGGCUCUUCUGUUCUGUUUGUUUGUUUGUUGGUUUGUUAUUUUCUUCGUUUGCUUGUUAGGCCUGCGCUACCCAUGAAAUGAAACAAACAUACAUACACACAUACAUACUGACAUAAAACAAACAUUCACCUACCUCCCUGCAAGUACACCGUGUUACUGACAAACACACACACACACACACUAUGCUUACCACAUUAUCUUCUCUUGCAGUUUAUCUUCUCUUGCAGUUAGUUAGUUACCAUUGCACUCUCUCCUAACAAACAAACACACAUUCCUCUACACACCAACCACUGAGUGAGUGCCUUACUUUACUUUAGUUUAGUUAGUUAGUUAGUUACACAUUUUACUACGACAGACGUUUGGUCUGUCUUUCUUACCAAGAUGUUAUUAUCAAAGCACACAUCAGGCCCUUUUCGGUAUCUGGGCUGCUUCACCAUAUCACAAGGAUCAGGACCAUCAGCUACAGACAGACAGACACUAGUUAAGGAACGUGGAAGUCACGCUUCCCCCACACCCCAAGCCAGUGUACUCACUUCCCAAGGUAAACAACACAUCCCGAGGCCGUGACUCUCCCGUCUAAUCUAACUAACAAACAAACACAACCAGUUCACAUACUAUCCAAUCAAUCAAUCAACCAGAUUUACGGAACCCAGCCAGCAGCAGCACUCCCCCGAGAGACCAGGGGGCCUCUGUCACGAGAACGACCCCUCUUUACCUUUACCGGGCUCAGCGUGCUCACUGGCCCCGACUCAGUCCACAAUAACUAACUAACCAACUAACUAAACUAUCUUAUCUUUUAUUUUAUCUAUCUAUCUAUCAAUCAUCUCCGCAAUCCAAGUGGGUGAAACAUACCAAUGACACAGAGAAGAAGACCGCGUCACUCGUACGGGCAGCAGCCUGAGGGAGGACCUGGCCGCCUCCUAGGAAGGAACACAUAAGUACCCAUGUCUUCCUACGGACACCCCUCUGCACAAAACACAGGUGAUGAUGACCGUUUUCCCUUCCAGCAACAACAAGGCUACACACCCAACAAUAGGCAGCCCAGACACCCCUCUGCCCGCACUGCCCGCUGAGUCCCGGCGCUGUCUGCCAGCACAUUAACCACGGGACGCACUUUCCCCGUUACAGCUGCGCCAAUGCGACAGGACCACCUUCCCCUGUGAGGGCUGCCUGAUUCACUGAUUGAUUGAUUGAUGAUUGAUAGAUACUCCCUGGCAAGUCUAUGCCACAUUCAACUCAACUCCAUGUUGCAUGAGGGGCUCUGCCACCUUCCUACCCACACCACUCCCUUACUUCUAGGCUGCACGUGAGUGAGCUGAUGGACUGACUGACUGAGAAGAGGGAGAGCUCCCUCCCUCGGCACGGCCUAUAAGAUCCACCCACGCACGCCCCCGGCAUCACUGGCACAAGCCCAGCCCCACUCCCCGAUCGCCGUCACACCCAGGCCCAGGGCCCCUCCCAGCUGGCUCAGGCCAUUUCCCCAGCCACUUGCCCACCUGCAUCAUUCGGGCCACCGAGCCUCCCAAGGGGACGCAGAAACCUCGCCCCUUCUCCCGGGGCCUGUGCAGCAUCGUCCAACCUGACGUCCGAGGCAAGCUUGCCGUCAGGGGGUCCACUCUACCUCUGGGAGGUGACCUCAGCCCACCUACACUCCUCUAAGGGAUGAGCAGGACCGAGGUGGCAAGAUACAACGGCACAGCUUCAGGCCGCCUUCCCGGGCCACACCCCUCAGUGUCAAAGGAUACAGGUCUGCUCCGCUUGUAUGAGGAGCCGCGUGUCACAGGGACAGGUCCCCUUGCUCUCAACCAUGAUGAAUAUUAGGUUGGUAUUCAUCAGCUUCUCCACGUGAAAAAUUCUGCAACACAACAGAAAAUGUCUCUUUCUUUUUCUUUUACAAUCAAUCAAUCAAUCAAUCACAGACAAUAUUUGGUGAAAAAACACCUGGCCAUGAAUUUCACAUACGGCACAGGAAAGAACAUAGGACCUUUUUUAAAACACAACAGCCUCAUCCACACAAACACUAAAAUGCAAUGGGAGUCACUCAACUCACUCACUUCAGAGGACACAGAUGCCCCCACAUUAUUUACCACCAUGGACAUCUCGUCUCCUCGCUCUCACGUGCAUACUACCAACAUGGCAACAUAUCUUUUCAGUCUAAUCUUUCUGUCUGUCUUCACGGACAGUUCUCAUGGCAACAUAGGUACUAUGUCAUACUCCGCUUUCAUCGUUACAACCUGUCUGUCUGUCUGUCUUCCUGACCACUGACCACGCGCCAAAGCUGCCUCCCUUUGCUGCGAACACAACCAGGCGCACACACGUGGCUCCGCACGGCCCAGCGACGGCCACACCUGCGCCGCCCGCCACACUUCCUGUGCGCGCGGAGCCACUGUCUGUCUGCUUUCUGCACCAAGCACGGAGAGCACACGGUUUCCUGCCUGAGGCUGCGGAGCACCUGAAAUGUAAGCUACCAUGACUGAAGCACAGGCCAUCUGCGGGCCUGGUCACGACUACAUUGGGACCACACAAAAGCGCACGGAAUCGAGGGCCGCACGCUCCUUGCAGGGCUCACCCCGUCUCGUGCUGCCUUCCACCUUCUCCCGCAACCGAGACAACAAUGGAGACCCGUCACGGAGGGUUCAUUUAUUUCCCAAAGAAGAAGGAGGAUACGCUCUCUUUCUGGCACUGGCCCUUGCACACAAGCGUACAGUGAUUGAUUUGAUUGACUGACUGACUGACUCCCGGAAACUGCAGUUCCCCUCGGCAUGUUUCUCACAUGCAGCUUCACGUCACACUACACUGCACUGCAGUCAGUCAGCCAGCCAGCGUGAAAGGCUCACACGGCUCUCCCGGGACCUCACUUAAUGGUAACUAACAAACAAACAGGCCAAAGGACGCUCAGCUCCCCCUGAGGUACUUGUGACCUGCGCAACAACCCUUUCCUGAAGGCGACAGGCCGACACGCCACUCUCUACGCACUACGAGCUGCUUCUCCUGACUACGUGCCAGACCCGUGCCCUCCCAGCCUUGCACACGGACGUUGACGGCACACACUCAGCCGUUCAGCCACACUGACCGACUCUCCCCACCACUCACCCCAGCUUCUCUGCAUCCCUCCCAGAAAAGAUGCGCAGUUCCCCACGACGCUCAGAUUCCCCAGAUCCCGAGCUGCCCACUGGUCCAGUCCUUUGACCGACUUGCUCAAAUCCCCUUACCUCCUCGCCUUUCCUCUGCUCUCGGACAACACUUCCCCUAAAAUACGCUGUCCUCAGUUGCUACACACACACACACACACACACACACACACACACACACACACACACACACACACUCCCAUGUCUGCUCCCUGUAAGCUGUGUCUUCCUGCUCAGCUCUCAGAGAUCUCACGACACGGAGGAGCCCUUUGCUCUCACAACUUCAAACACACAUCUCCACCUUGCCUUUCUCCUCGCUGUCCUUGCAACAAAAUUAACUUCUCCAUCUCUUCCAAAAGAUUCCUAAGAUACCUGAAGGAUACUCAUGACUCACAUUCACCUGGACAAAAGGAAAUAUUUCCUCCCAGUUCUUUCAGCUUCCAGCCACACCUGCAUCCAAUUUCACAUUCCAGCGAGCACGACACGUAAAACCACCUCCUACCCGAGACGAUCAUUUUCUGCACCUCUUCAGCAACUGCAUGCAAACAAGUAGCUAUCAGUCAGUCAAUCAUCUCUUUGGAUUCUAACGUAGCUUCAAAAAACAGUUCCAAACCUUAGAUGGGACAUUCUAUCCAUCUCUACCUCAGAGAGAGAAAUCUUUCUUACACAGACAAUAUAAUAGACUCUCCCAACGUUCUGCCUAAGACAGGGUCCACUUACCUCGAUCCCAUAAUGAAGCACUACAGUGGACAGGAGAGUACAGCUUCCUGACUGCCUUCCACCUCAGCCUAGUACAACAGGACCCAUUUUUCUCGCCACACACUAUACACACAAACACAACUUCUGAGUCACACAAGAGUAGUCCAACGAUGACGGAACAACUUACCUGGAACAGUUGCCACAGUCUAAUACGCCACUGAAGGAUUUACUGUCAUUAUCGAAGAAAUACUGUGUUUGCUCAGUAAUGCAACUCUGCUUUGACAGCGAGGCCGUGAAGUCAUCCUCUUCCAUCUCAACUGUGGUGAAAACAAACACACACCACCGUCACGACGGCACCCUCUAGCCACUCUCCACAGCCCUCCCUUCUAGGGACGCACAACGACUGCAGGAGGGAGGGCGGAUGGGCACCUCCCCACGGUGUGAGCAGCAGCAACCCCUGAAUGACGGACAGAUGCCCAAUGACGACAACACAGGGGCCACUGUGACCUAGGAUGCUUUCCAAAGCAUUCAGACAGACGGUUUGGACCAAAAGAUUUAAACUUCCAAAACAGGCACAUAGACGAUCUCUCUCUUAUGCACGCACGCGCACGCACACACACACGCUGACUCGUUCUGGGUGUUGACCUCUACAUACCCAAUAAAAACUUUUCCCCAGUUAUGACAGUACCUGAGCAUAACAUACCUGCCUCCAGAAGUCGUGGAAACGUCAGACUCAACAGAAACUGCUGUAGAAUAGACCUAAAUUUUAAUUUUAAACAUGAAUAAUUAAUUAUUGAUAGCCAUCUACAUCUUUUGUCCCUUCUAAACUAACCAAUACAAACCUGACUAUUUUUGCAUAUCCACAUACACACAUAUUUCAUUUCUCUCCUUUUGAAAACAAACAAACUGAGACCUGGCAAAGGAUUCCCUACACUGUACAACACAUUUCACAUGUCUCUUUCUGUAAAACAAACCACGCAGUCAGACAUGCUUAACACCAGGUAAGGGACACAUACGUGGCAACGUGCCUACACUGCAAUGAGAGUAAGGAGGACGGACAACUCUAACACAAACAAGACUCAUCAUCUCAGGGCCUAGCUUUCAUUCAGGAUUUCCUCCUUACUUUACUUUACAACUCUGCAGUGUACGACAAACAAACAAACAAACAAAAAACACAAAUGACUUCGUGCCACGGGGUUGACUACUUACGAUACAGACUCUCUCUAUACAUACAUACACAAUGUUGCUCUCAUGACAGAAUACGUUACGUAGAGGACAUGGGGGACAUUGCUGCUCCACAGCCAAUGACACUUGAGCCACAUAUUAGCAAGGUCUCCCCUGGAACUGAAUGUACUUGGAAGAAAAAAAAAAAGGAGGCAGAGAGGACACUGGCAAGGAGGGAUGCUGUGGCCAGAAAAUGUGAUGACAAUCACAUACUUCAGGAAGACUAUGGGAUAUAGAAAACCUACAUACAGUCACAUAUAAAUCUCACCCUCACAACAGAAAGCACUAUUUCUCACUGUUCUCCAGAAAAUAACUGCAUUCCUACUGUACAGUCUUUGCUACUUUCAUAAAAUUAAAUAAUCAUUUACUUUUACCUGUAACAGCCUCAACGGCAAAGGACUGCUAUGGGGGAAUCUACCUGGAACAGAGCUUAGACAGUACGGCAGGGCACCGCUCCCGGAGGGAGGGAGGGACGGCGGGAUCCACACACAGCAGGAGAAUGACUGACUGAGUGAGUUACUGGACUAACUAGAACCACACAAUCACAUAUGUGAUCUCCCAAACUUUCCACAGUACCUCAAUACAAAGUUUCAACGCUGCAUUUCCAGAGGUUGCAGGGCAUAGGCAACAGGCGUAGGACUACUGUAAAGAAAGACUUUGAUCCCUUUCGGGACCGUGAUGCCUCUAUAUCACCGCUGGCCUUUAUGUGAAAAGUACCGAGGUACAGGGGUGAGUCCUCAUGUUGGGACUUUGAUCGAUGAAGACAUCUACCUUGAUGCCGAGGGCGAUACACAGUAACUGCUCAAAACAUCUACAUACUUACUUAACAUUUAAAAUUCACCAUACUUCAAAGACACAAACAGAAUGACAACAGUUUCAACAGGCUCACAGGAAACAGUCCCCAAAAAGGCUGAAGUUUGCAUAAGUGUAACAUUGCUUUCCUAUAAACAAACACCUACAUACUUACAACAGGUGGACAGUGGUCACUUGAUCAGUCAUUCCUCACAUAAGGGAACCACUAUGUGCCAUACUCAACGAAUACAAGUCGUUUCUGAUUACCGAUUUCCAUGUCACUAAAUCCAUCGUUUCAUCAACCUCCUUACUACACAACAUGUUUCUAUCAUUACCAACAAAAAUACAAUUUGACUUACCAGGCAGCAGCCGUGGCCCACCAGCCAAUGUGUAACACGUCUGCCACUGAUGGCUAUAAAACACAACGUGACAGUCAUUACGCGCAUCUACACAGCCUGUCCCUCUGAGACGCACGGCCCCGGGUCGAGGUGGGGGGGGGGGGGGGGCUCCUACUGACCACAUAUGCUGAGCGAUGCCCUGCUCCUUGCUUCGGGGCGGCACCGGGCUCACACACUGACUGAUAAUCAUAGGACUUGUUAAAAGCAUACACGGAUAUAUUCACCAGGUGUCUCAUCAAACUUGGAUCAAUCUCUCCAAAAAAUCUUCCAAUCUAAUGAAGGAAAAAAAAGGAGAUUAAGGUUCACAUUUAGGCCACAUAUUAACUAACACCUUCACCGCUGCAAUGAAAAGAAAUAACAUGAACACACUGAAGGAAAUCUGCUCAGGAGCUUAAAACCAAGCUCGGCAAUAAACCAGCACUGCACCCUCACAGAAGUCCACUGACAUUUGGUGUUCCCCACAUGCCACCUGUGGAAGGGAUGCACACUACACUAAGCAGUAAGUCACAACCCAAGGCCUCCUGAGGAACGCAAAAGUAUCAUCACAAUGAGAGAAAUGGGAAAACCUACGCAAAGACCCUUGGAGGCAGCGAUCAACUGCUGUGAGUCUCUACCGCAGGGACCGCCUCGAGUGCCUCCACUCCAACCCAUAAUCACUGUCACUCACUUUGGAAACAGACCAGUGUUGUUGAGAGACUUCUUUUCCUCUUUCAAAGACAAGCCAGACGUGCAGAUUCAGAAUCAAGUUUCCCGGUAAGUACUUCCACUCUGUGGACCAUCCCGUAUGACCUACCUAUCCUCUGUGCGGCCGCUUUGACAAUUUGGAGGCUGCCACUUUGCUUCAAACCACCCACGUAUUCACAUACACACUGUCAACUGAUUACCGUCUGAACAAUGUCUACAUUUCUGGAAGAUCCAAGCGACAAUCCUCUUCCCCUUUUGCACUCCUCAGCCAACUGUAUUACAGGUAACUGUUAGUACCAGGAAAUACAUUCUAAUAACAAACACAAGGGAAAAUACACUCUGAAUGCUUCUCCUUAUGGCUAACAUUACAUGAAGUAAUUACAGGAUCAGUGUUCAUAGUGGCAGUAAGGACUGUUGUACUUUUGAUCAGAGAAACACACUUUGGAAAACCUACUUCUUCCCUCUUUAGGUUCAUACCUGGUUGGUAUAAUCGUCAUGAUUGGCCAUCAAAAGAAACCCACCAUCAUCCAGAAUUACACAGUCCAUGACCUGUUGAAACAAAACCAACAAUGAACAUAUUUUCAGGAACGCUCUUAGAACUGUACAGCAUCGCUACUCCACCUACGUAGAUGACUACAGCAUUACAAACAGGAGACAGACAGCUUUAUUCAUUCCAUCUUCUCCGAAGCCUACAGAUUCUGAGGAAACACAUUUCGGUCACUCAGAUUCCUGUGAAACCUCAGCACUUGAAACUCCACCCCCAUCCAGCCAGUUACAACGCUCACCUCACUCUGCACCAGUCAUAAAACCUAAUCUGAAACAAUCUGUCUGCUACUCUAAGCUCAUCUCACUGAUCCAGCACAUUGGAUAGACCAAAACUAUUUAAUGAUAUACUAUUAUUCUACUUUACUUUACUUUAAACAUAGACUUAGGAUUAUGACCAAAACAUUAAAAAACAAGUCCAUUUUGGCCACUGUCCAUCACAGACUUUCAAAACACAGCAGCAGCACAAGGUGACUCACACUCUUGUCUAUUACAACCAUUACGUUGAAUACUUUGAGACGUAACAGCAGAAAGCGUGACAAAACAUGCCACUGAGGAAACGCAGUAUUUCAUCCUGAACUAUAAGAUACAUCCCUGCCCGACUUCACUCAUGGUUACACAUACAGGAAUCAGGUUACUCCUUCUCAUUGCACAGAAUCACUAUUAAAACCAUUUUUCUCAGAGGCGAGGCCUGAGUGCAUUCUACUUUCCACAUAGGCAGUGAGCUUCUUAAAAACCUUGGCUCUAAAACCAACUACAGCAUGGUCUUUGUAACACACAUGCUACUAAAAUACUACACGAUUUCACAUGACUAGAAGUGAUACAAAGAUAUGAAAUUCCUGCUUCCUGGGGACAUAUAGAGACACACACAGAAGGAGGGGAGGAAACCACUGAAAUACAUCACUCUCAUUCAUUCUUGGCAUAACUGAUCUACGCCCAUUCCUAGAGCACCUUCACCUUUGCACAAGGUUCACGUUUGCUCUCUCAACUUCUGGAACAGAAAUGGUAAGCACAGAACACAAUGCAAAAUCCAACCCAGGCAAGUCAAACUAUAAUUCCAAGUUUCAGUUGGAAGACUCCCUCACCGCUACAGACACAGUAGGAGCCAAUUCAAAUACGGCACAAAGAUGAGGGACGACUGCGUCGAUAACCGCGAAGCAUGCUUCUGCCAUAACCUCGACUCAGGUACCGAGUGACAGGUAAAGACGUACAAAACACUCUAACACCAUGGAGACUGAAGAGAAUACAGUCCGUGCUGAUAUGGCUUUUUUAAACCCUCUCAUACUGCAUCCCUACUUUUAAAUACUCCUCUUAUUACAAUUACUAAUUAGAAGCUAAUCCCUCCACCUCUUAGCUAUAUUUCUCAGCACUCAAUUAACAAUUUCUGCAUCACUGAUACAAUUAAAGUCUUCCCAAGAGUAACACAAGGCACAUUUGCAGUUACAAAUUCCAUUUUUCAGAGUUCUCUUACAUCACUGUUUCUUUUACAGUCACAAACGGGACCAGCACACUGAAAGACAAAAAUACGGUUAUUACCCCACUUUUUCUUUAGAAUGGAUUGCAACAAUUUCGCUUACAUCAUUACAGUCCAUAAUAAAAAAGGUAAUACCUUUAUCAUGACAAAUUAAAAAAUGUCCACCAGCAGCAUUUUAUUCUAACAUUCUAAAAUAAUUGCAAUGACAUAUUUCUCUUUUAUGAUUUAUUACUUGACUACUUUAAACAAAAAGCCUCCGAAAACCUGAAAUUCAUAGCUCUGCUUCAAUACAGCAGCACCGGCCAUUUAUUUUGCCGCUGUGUAACAUUGCCAUGUUGAGAUUAGUAACUGUAACAUAAGCCUAAAAAAACCCGAAAUUAUCUUACCGGAUCCCUGAUGGAUGUUUUGGUGAAAUUCUCUAUCCAGGAAUUUAUGUCAAUUUUAAUUCCAACAACUGAAAAAAAAUGCACAGAAAACCAGACACAUACAUUUUUACAAUGUAGCAACAUUUUUCGCUUAUGUUUCCUCUCACAUUUGAAAACUCCUGAGCUGGCAGAUGCAACUUUCCUGAGACUACACAGACAACAAGACUAUUCGCUCUCAGAUAUGCCUCGAACAGUUGAUUCCAACUCACGUUACAGGCCACAGUUACACUUAGUACGACAUAAUUUUUGCUAUAUAAUUUAGGGACUUCAUUUAACAGCGCUGCAUUUGGGUUGAAUAUACUGUUCAUUACAGAGAUCUCUUCCUUGGGGCUUCCAUAAGAAGUACUGCCGACAGCUCUCACACUAUUAAACACACUUCCUUUAUAUGCACUUUCUUCCUUGGCUACAGCCUAGCCAAUGACCUAACACAAUAAGCUGAUACAAAGAAUGACACAGUAACCGAGCAGGACGCUUUGGAACCUUCCAGGGUCGCACCCGUCCCCCAUAUCCUCUGCUAUUGCUCUCUCUGAGGUCCCCAAAUAACAGUAUCUCAUGUAUUUGCUGAAUUUUUCUGCUGCGAAAAACCACCACCAAAAGGAACACAUUAACUACCUGACGAUCAAUGUCAAUUAGCCCCUGGACCUUUUGACGCCUAGGGGCUGAUACCUUGCUGGUCCCUGCCAGAAACCUUUCUCAGCUCCAAACUCCAACAUUCCACCUUGUAUGGCCUCAAGAUGCCUCAGGGACUCGAAACGAACUUGCAUUCGCCACCAACGGUGUCCGGAAUAGACUUAGAAGUAUACGGUCAUUCAAGCCGCGCCCCUUAAGAGGCUUCGCUACCCUGACCAGUGCUAGAAAAAUGUGGGUGAUGUGCAAAUGACUGAGUACAUACAGAGGCAGGUGACGGGGUGGGAGUGCAGGCACCUAAAUGAGCCACUGACACAACCACACUAACUGAGAAAACAUGCAACUGGGUCAAGGGAAGGAGGGUGGCAGACACUAACCGGUACACUGAACGUACACAGUGAAACUGCCUCGAGGCAGAACCACCCCCACGAGCAGAGAGGCCAUUUUACCCACGUUCCCAGUCUGCCCUCCCUACUCUGCUCUCUUUUACCGUUCCCACAGUACUGCAUCACACAAUCCUUUUUCCACCUCUGCUCUGUCUGCUCACUCCAGCCCACCUCUAAUUCCCAUGGAUCCUCAGUUACAUGAGUUUCUCUGUGUCCUGCAUUGCCUUUCCUUUGCCAAACAACUCAUUUUCGACACACUUCAUUGUAACAUUUAAAAACCAAAAAAGAUCCCUACUGAAUUCUUUUCUACUGAUACACAGUAUAGGUAUGCCGUAAUACCUCCUUCCCACCAAUGAUGGACACUUCCCUUUCCACUUUUACUUUUUUUUAGGCACAUUGACAUCUUUGGCCAUACAUACAUCUGUGUAUUUGAAAUAUUUUAUAGGGCAGACUACUAGAGUGGCCUUCCCACAUCAAUCCAGCAUUUAGAUUUUUGACAUACAAUACUAAGCUCACUCCAUACCAGUGUGUCAACAGUGCAUACACAGACACACUUUGCAAAUCGCUCGAUUCUACAUUACUACUACUGUUUACUUUAUCCCCCAUCUCAUAGGUAACAAACUGUGUUUCUUUGUAUUUUCCAAUUUAGAAUGUCUUUGACUUCUCUUUGGCUGAAGCUUUCUGAUGGCCUUCCUGAUAAGCACUGUCAGCGUAUAAUAUAAACAUUCGGUCACAUUUCAUUUGGGAUGUGACUAUGCACAAUACAUAUGCUUACCUGCAGGUUUGAGAAGUUUGCCUUGGAUGUAUAUUUCUACAGCUUUGCUUACCAUGAUUCCUGAUUCAUAAGCGCCAGGUCCGCUUCCUAGAGAACACAGACAACAGACCUAUAUAGAUCACCACAACACCAUUACAUUUCUUUCCCUACCUACAGGUGCACAGAGUUCUUCUUCGAUAUUCAAGCAUAGCUCUGUAAUCAAGAACUGUGUGCUCUCCUGUUCCCUUUUACUCCUUUAUAUGCCAGGCUGAUUGGAGUGUCCAUGAAUUGGUUCUCAUUAAUUGACUUUGGCAUGAAAAUGACUCACCUUAGCGGCAUGUACUUGCCCAAUAAAAAGGGUGCACGCCAGAUCCCUGCUUCACGACAGGUGCUACAAUACUGGGGAGGCUACUGACGUGAAGUGGAAAGAGUGAGCUUCCUUUUACAACACUGCCUUUCCGUCUCACCAGAUAUAUGUCCCUGGACAAAACUGAAAUUCUGACCUUCAGGUUCCCCAUUUAUGAAAAUUAUGAUAAGUAAGACCAACCCCCAGAGAGGUUGAAGAAUUAACUCAGAAAGUUUUCGGGAAAGAACUCAAUAGACUACUUAAACAUUUAGACCAUUAUGAUUUUCCAUAAACAGUAUGUCCCUAACACUGACUGAAGGAGGGUAAACUGACUACUUUUCAAAAAACUCAUGACACAGCCUUUGACAUAUUUGCGGCUUGUGGAGUGCGGCCUUCUCUCCAGGUGUUUCUCUGCAUUACACGAGCCCGCAGACAGCCUGCCUCCACCUGACUGGAUGGCCACUUCCUGCGCGUGCAUCUUACCUCCUCCACUGAACGGACGCUUCUGCCUUUCCGACGUCACGCGUAUGGAAUAUGCAUAAUACUGAGUAUCCUGAGCAAUCACAUACCACACAUUGCUUUGGUGGACGGCAGGUAGUAGCAAUAAUUCAUUCAAAAAAAAGUCAUUGAGAUGGCUGAAUUCUACAGUGGUACUUACUGUUAAAGUAGGGAGCAGUGAACACAUAGUUAUCAUUAUCUAAACUCCUCUUAUAGAAGCUGUCCUCAUAUGUUUCCGGGUUCUCCUGCCAAUUUUCUCCAGCCCUAGGGAGGAAACGGCUCAUCAUUUUCAUGUUUUACUCUACGUGAUACCAUACUUUUCCCUUCGUGCACAUCACUGAACUUUACAGAUACGUCUGCAUCUCAGGAACGUCUAAAAAGCUCAGUAAUAACGGAUGGUGUACAUGACACGCGUGACUAAGCAGCAGAUCGCCAUACAAUGAAACUAAGGAUCGGAAAACGCGACUCCUGGCUUUACCCUGCCGUUUACUAGCCAGGUCAUUAUGAACAAGUCAGUUGACAAGUCAGGUAAUAUUGGUAAGCCUACACGGCCCACUACAUGGGCUCUUCUGAAAGUAACCACCAUUGAAAAACCAGUGACCACAACGCUGGGCCACGCAGAUAUCGCCAAAAGACAGUAACCGCUAUGUUUCUUUAACCAGGCGAGAUUAUGCUGGCAAAGACAAAAACCUCUUAAAAUCUCUUACAUUGUGUAAUAUGCAUGGCAAGCAAACACACCAACAGAAAAAACACUGAAGAGUCACAUAAUCCCAUUUUUGAAAGAAACGCAGUAUUUUAAGAAUGUAAGCACCUUCAACCCACUCCAAUUUUAUCUACUGACAAUGCUCACUUUCUCUGAGGCACAGCUUCCUGGCACAGUAACGUACACAUCCUUGCAGUAGUCUGUUGUAAUAUGCUACUUUACACAGACAUUACUAGAACUUACUCUUUAGGAUACACUCUGGUAAUCCCACCAUCAGUCACAACAAACCGCGCCUUCACACCCUUGCUGGAACAGAAGACAGAAGGAGGAAAUUUUCAUUCACUUCACUCUCUGUAACAUAUCACUUUAAGCUGUUGGCUGUACAAACAGAAAUAGAGUGAGUUCCUAGCAUAAAGGAAGUCAAAGGACAUAUGUCCAUAGGUGCAAACUAUGUCUUAAUAGGUAAAAUAUUUCAGAAAUAGUUACAGGGAGGAUGCUUAAGGAAGAUAUUUCAGAGAAAACAGCAGUACGGUUGCAUUUUGAGGCUCGAAUAGGAGGUAAAAGAGAUGACAGACCCAGAAGGAAGCCCUCCCGUGCAAGCACAGAGUCCGUGUGCGGAGAGCUAGUGGAGAGAGAGCGCGUGGUGUAACAGAGCAUAAGGCACGGGGUGAUCCACAACAGGCAGGCAAGUCCCGUGUAUCAGCUUCUUCAGAAUGGUCAGCCCACGGAUGCUCCAGAAAUCCACGCUGCGGAGCCUGCACCCCCUUGGUCCUGAACUGAGAACGUCACUUGCAACCUGAGACUCCGGCCACGUACGAGUUACAUGGAGAACAGACUGGCGGCUGUGUGCAGAGGGGUGACUUGCACUAAAGGCACAAAAACCAGCUGCUGUGAGUCCUGACAAAUGAAAACUCAGGACCUUGAGGACGGAGAUGAAAACAAUUGGGGCCAAAAAACUUUCACCACUUGCUGACGGACUGGAAAUCGGGUGGAGAAGAGACUGCAAAUGAGAACCACAGUCAGAUUUCUCAGUCUCUCGCCUGUAUGGAAGGCAGGGCUCCUAGCAGGCUAGGCGACCUAGGUGACCUUUCCCUAGAAACCCUACUUUACCACAAGCACCCCUUUGCUCAUUCACAACGCAGUCCAGACGUAUGUGUUAGGCUCAGUCACGGCACAUGUGAAUCCGGACACACCCACCACUGAAGAUUCAAUCAGUCAACAACUGGAAGAUGCCUUCUUUUGAGGAACUGUUAUUACAGAUGAUCAACUUAAAAUUUAACAGACCUACUUUCCAAACAUUUCCCAGAAUAAAGCUAAGCUGAAAGACAUAAUAUUUCUUUUCUCUUAAUAAGAACAAAUACUUACAUGUUUUUCUGCUUACUCCAAUAAUUUUGCACAAGUUCAUUUGUAAAGCCAGCAUCCAGCAAGACUCUGUUAAUCAAAUCCGUGUUGCCUGCCACAAGAAAAUGACAACCUCCAUUACACCCACACUUCACCGAGGACAAUCACACCGCGUACAUUCUCACUUCAGAAGCGCUUCACAGUGAAUACUGCUUCUGUGAAAUACACCCUAUUCAUCUUCGUCUUCCAUACUGUUCCUCUUCCUCACAUUUUCAGGAUAUAGACACACUUCCCACUGGAAAACCCGAUUCUACAUGAGGCAACUUACUCUGCACACAUCAUCAAAAAGAUAAACAUGCCACAUCAUCAUCAUUUCAUAAGUAAUUUUAUAUAUACACAUAAAACUAUAUAAUAUGACAGAGUUGACUUCUGCUUUCUGGGCAAGGCAAGGCACAGGAUAACUUAUCACAGACCAGCGCCACUCCAACAUUGGCUUCUGGGAUCCACUGCAACGGACGAGAGAGCACAGGCUUCAGGCUGCUGUUUCUGGAAUAACAGAAAGCCGUCCUCCUGGCCCAACAUCAAAGGUAAUGGACGGAAAAGAUGCCGAAGACCAAGGGCCAAUUAAGAUUUGGAAGCCAUCACCUGAAACUGUGAGCACAGAAAAGGGGGCGUCCCUGGUAUGUCUGCAGCCUGGGAAUUGGAAGACCAGAGCGCCAAGGCCAGCAGCUUCAUGUGAGGGAGGGAGGAGGAAAAAGACGACAGCGUGUCACCAGACAAUGUUAUGGGGUACAACAGGAAAACCGUCUUGAGCUCGAUAGUUCACAAGACCCAUGGGGCUACUGCAGUCUUGUGGCAGAUGUACCAACGGGGGAAGAGGUGCAGUGCAAAUCUCAAGCCAAAUUCAGAAGACUGUCAGACACCAGGACUGUCAACCAAGCCUGCCAGCCAACGUUCUACGAAAUAAGAAGCUGUCAGGCAGGUCACCGUACUCAUCUUCAGGUUGCCAAUUAAUAAAACACAUAAUGUGUUAGAACUGUUAAAAGAUGUCAGAAUAUCAUGCAGUUUCCAAGAACAACUGCAUCUGUGUAAUUCUGUUCCUCUCACAACGGCUGAUGUGCAUGUGGGGACAUAAUUAAUUAUUCCAGAGCCACACUUACAGCUGCAAAGGACCUUCACUAUCCUUUGAUUAUAGAAAGAAACUAAGGAACUAAUGAAUGCCAAAAAUGAUGGUAUCUCUGAUUCUCAAUGCAACACUUUUCAAAAAAUGUUUCAUUACUGUGACCAACUGAGUUAUUUCACAUUCAUUGAAAACCUGUAACCCAAACUUUAGCAGUGCACAGGAACUAAUGUGUGUCUCUAGCCUUCUGAGUACUUCCAAGCACGGGCAGAAGACCUUCUUUUAAAUCACUCAAGCCUCAUCUUCCCCACGCUUUUGGGAUAAAUGUCCAAACUGCAGCCCCCUAUUUUUUCCUUUACUGAACAAUACAGAACAGGACAAAAUAUAAAAUUCCAGGUCUUCCUUCUUACAAAUAUAUGUUACAGAUUCACUCUCUGAAGAGGAAAAAAGCAAGGGAUUAUUUGCUACAAUUUAUUUCUGCAGUCACGAUAGCAAACCAAGGGGAUGCUUGUUACCUCCAAUUCCCAAAUCUGGCUCCAUCAUUAACUAAGUCAUAGACUUUCCUUAUAGGAAAAGGUCAGAGACAUAAAACAUUACAUAGACUUCAUGAAAAUCUCUACAUUCAUUUUAUAGGUAACUUCCUUUAAGUGGAGGCAGAGAUUAAAAUUAACAUAAGCAGUGCAAUUAGUCUGAAAGCAACAUGACUUUUAUGAUUCACUUGCCACUUAUAAAAUGUUGAGCAGAAUCACUGAGCAUUUGAAGAUUGUCUCCUACAAAUCCCUCUCCAGGGAAAGUACGACAUUUUUAUUGCCCUAUCAGCAUUUACUCCUAAGAGAAACUUCAAAUUAAAACCGGUAACGUUACAUCAUGUGGCUGCCACAAUGUCACCCUGCAAGCUUGGGUUACGUCUCAUGCACCAUAAAAAAAUAGUGUGGAAACCCAUAAGGAACACAAUACAAGUUUCACACUUGACAUAUCAAACAUACAUUUUACUGGCCUGUAAGUCUCCAGUUGUUAUUAAUAGCUACAUGUUAUUUUAUUGAAAAAUAUAGUUACACUUAAUCUACUGGUUUUCUCUCUUGAGACAACAAUUAUUCCUUCAACCUACAGCAGCAGAUAAGAUCUUUACUCAACAUUCUGAGCCAACGUUGCUGUCCUGUGCAGGGGCUGCUGUCUCUCUCCUUAUAAAACCCACAGACCAAGGCUGCUGUAUUGUCUCCUAGGGAGGAAAGUCUCACAACGCCAGUGGCCACCAGAUGGAUGGCACAGCCCCCGCAAUAUUUUUGUAACUCCCAUAAACAUGGUUAACUCAGUUACAUGGAAUAUAACAUACUUUUCCACCCAAUCACUGAGACCACCAAAAAAUCCAACUUUUCACCAAAGAGAAUUCUAUUAAAAUAAUUACUAUAUUUCAAAAUACAUAAUAUCAAGUUAUAUCAAGGCUUAAGGAGACAGAUAUUACUAACUGAUAUUUGAUACUCUGCGAAGACAUCAGCUGAGAGAAAAUGGACAGGCAAGAGACAUGGGCUUGAGGAGAGAACACACGCUGUCAAAGUGAUCUAUAAGCAUCCUGCAAUCAUGGGACUUCUGACAUCACCAGGAACCACUGACGUCCACUUCAGGUUAGAGGUCCUGAAUUUCACGUGAUGUUACCAGUCAAUGAAUAUUUUACUUCUAUUUGUGGCCAUGUGGUACAGCAUGGGGUUGGUGAUAACUGACUUUCAUUGGGAUUGGGAUUGGCUACACUGAUGUUUGCCAAACCUGAGUAGGAUGAAGAGAAUUGACGGUGUGUGCAGGAGGGUGAACAUACUAAGACCCAGGAAUUUAUGCUGAAUAAAGAGAAGUUCAAGGACAUGAAGGAGGCAAGGACACUGGAAAGGUCCAAGGGAUUGAUGCAUUUCAGGUCUUCACUGAGUCAGAGGACUGUUGCAGUUGGGCUAUCAGAGGGAGGAGAUGGAAAGCUGAAAUGUAGUGAUCUUAGAGUUGCACACACACGAUCAAAUUCAGAUUCUGAUGAAGCUGCAGUCUUAGAGCAGCAAAACAUGACUUUGGAGUAGGUAGCUAAGAUAGCGGAACGGCAAGGUCAGUAGAGGACAGGAGAUGAAAAAAACAGAGUCCAGGCACCAGAGGCACCCCCUGUGUCAAUGGUAUGGACAGUGCAGUCCAGGGACCUGGCCCACCUGCAAACCAUCAUCGGCUCAGGUGAGGUACAGACAUUGAGAGUGAGUACUUAGAAAUUCUUACAGCCAUUUCAUAUACUACUUUAAUGUCUAUAGACUCUAAUAAAUUUUUUUUACCUUGAGUUGUCAUCUCCUCUACAGUUUAUUUCAGUAAACAGCGUUUGCUUUACCUUAUGUAAGUCUGGGUAUGUCACAAACAGGCUUACAGACAGUGAUCUAAGUGAACGUAGGAGAGGGUGGCGGUGAGGCAGGAGCCGAAAUCUCACAGGAAGGAGAGGGAGAUGACUGCGAAAAGGGAGGAGUGGGGGGUGCUGUGAUCUGCUGAUAUAAGAUCCAAAGAUGGGGCUGUUCGCUAGGGAGUAGGAAAAGAGCAUGAGUAACAAGAAGGACACAGUCACACUGGCCUCAGCUCUACGCGGAUGCAGGACGCAGGACCACGGAGAAAGCUGUGACCUCAGAGGCAGCGCAAGUGAAGAAAAUGCUCAGCAGCUGUUGAAGAAGGGAGACUUUCCAAACAAUUACAGGAUAUUAGUCUGCCCAAUUUUCUCCUCAACUGAAGGGAUCAGAAUGCUUCCGAAUUUCUAUUCAUGGGGUAACAUCUCAUCAGUUGAGCAUUUUAUAUCACAUUACAUUACGCUGUGCUAAGUUUUAUUUUUAAGU